rnacentral:rRNA from 1 species
GGAAACAAUGGCUAAUGCCGGAUACGCAUGGAACCGCAUGGUUCCGUUGUGAAAGGCGCUGCAAGGCGCCACUAAAAGAUGAGGGUGCGGAACAUUAGUUAGUUGGUGAGGUAAUGGCCCACCAAGACUAUGAUGUUUAGCCGGGUCGAGAGACUGAACGGCCACAUUGGGACUGAGAUACGGCCCAGACUCCUACGGGAGGCAGCAGCC